AAAAAGAAUAGUUUUGCCGUAGACAGCAGGUGCUUUGCUUAAUAUCCUGCCGAGGUUUUAGAUAAGAUUACUAAAGCUUUUGUAUGUCUAUUUAUAUACAAAAGCUUUUUU
rnacentral:sRNA from 1 species